AACGAACGCUGGCGGCAGGCCUAACACAUGCAAGUCGAACGCUGCAGCAAUGCAGAGUGGCAGACGGGUGAGUAACGCGUGGGAAUCUUCCUAUCGGUACGGAAUAGCUCAGGGAAACUUGGGGUAAUACCGUAUACGCCCUUACGGGGAAAGAUUUAUCGCCGAUAGAUGAGCCCGCGUCUGAUUAGCUAGUUGGUGAGGUAAUGGCUCACCAAGGCGACGAUCAGUAGCUGGUCUGAGAGGAUGACCAGCCACACUGGGACUGAGACACGGCCCAGACUCCUACGGGAGGCAGCAGUGGGGAAUAUUGGACAAUGGGCGCAAGCCUGAUCCAGCCAUGCCGCGUGAGUGACGAAGGUCUUCGGAUUGUAAAGCUCUUUUGGCGGGGACGAUAAUGACGGUACCCGCAGAAUAAGCCCCGGCUAACUUCGUGCCAGCCGCCGCAGUAACAC
rnacentral:rRNA from 1 species